GAAAGAUUACCUUAGAUUUAUAAUAAGAUUAUGCAUUUGAUGGAUGACCUUGAGGUCAUGAUAAUUUAGUCACUGUCAAUAUACCUGUUCUUUGAACAGGUUCCUCAACCAGUACCAACAUAUUUGAUGUACCUCUCUACAGUAAGAUUGCAUUUGAAUAGAUGGCCUAAUUAUCUUUUUCAAUAAGAAAUGCUAUUCGUGUAAAAAACUGAUGUAGGAUGAAAGAUUACCAAAUGAUUAGUCUCCAUUUUAAAUUAUAAGAUUACAUCCAGAUAGAACAUAGAUUUCAAUUCAAAGCCCAGGCCUGAUUCUGCCUCAUGUAUUCAUGCUGAGUAGUCCCUUGCUCUGUGAGCAGGUUUGCAGAGUAAGGUGCUACUCAGCAUGAAAUGUGGCAGAAUCAGGCCUUCCAUGACCAGGGUGGAUAAAAAAAAAUAUUUUUUUUUAAAAAGAAUUUUUUAAAAUUUAAAUUGGACGUUUUUGAUAAAAUGCUUUUUGAGGAAAAAACCUAGCUAAAGAUAGUUUUAAUUCAGAUACAUUAUAGCUCAAAGAUAUCUCACCAUGGAAUAGGGAUUAUAAAUUCUAAUUCUACAGUGUGAGACAAUAUAUUCAUGUAAUGUUUAAGAAAAGUUUUGUAAAUGAGUUCCAAUAGUUCAUGGAUUAGGGACCCAAUCUUAUGGGGUUCCAGGGGCUUCUGUAUAGAUUAUUUAGGUUAAUCUUUCUAUCUACCCAAUGAGACUCAGUGCUCAGUCUAGAAGAUACCAUCAGAGAUGCUUAGUUUUGCAGUUCCCAAACUGUGAAUUUGUGUCUCCAGAGAUAACAUGCUUGUUAACAGCAAAAAUGUUUUUAAAAUAAGAGAGAGAGAGAAAGAGAGAGAAAGAAAGAGGUGAGAUAUAACAUACCUCAAUCCUAUUGUCCCUCUGAAAAUUUAUGUACAUAGGGUCAAUCCCUUACUUCUCCCUAAAAGUGCAAAGUUUCAAAAAGUUAAUGAAUAGAAGAUAGUUGGGGGCAGAACAGAUCUGGACAAGGAGAAGUCUGGAGAUAAAUGUGAGAAGGGAGGGACAGGCAGUAGAAACAAAAGUGAAACUGUUGGAGCAGCAUAUUCCAGAAGUCUUGAGGUCUUUCUGUGUGUAGCCGUCAUUGAUUUGAGAUCUAUCAUACCAUUCUCUCACUAGAAGGGAAAACCUAUAAUCACCUAUAUAAAAAGGCUGUAAAAGAGACCCAGUUUGGGAAUAUUUUAAUGAAGUUCCUCUACCUGUGGGUAAGACAGGCAUGCAUGCAAAAUGCAAACAGUGCAGCAAAGAAAUGCAAGGCCUGGUUGCCCCAAUGAAACAUCAUGAGAAGUGAUCCUUCUCAGGAGGAAGCUGCGUUGAAGAUGAAAGGAACAUGUCUGAACAUACAGGAUCUUCAGGAGAAUCCAUCCUCAACAUACAGGAUUCUGAAGACUAUCCACCUUCAAGAUCACCAUCAUUUUCUAUAGUUUCAGAGUUAUCUGCCAGUGAUAAUGUUUCAGUCGUAUCAUGUAUGUCACAUAACCACAGUAUAUCACCUGUAGCAAAAAGAAAAAAACCUCCAUCAUCCAGGAACAACCAUAAAUAAAUUUGUGAUAAGAACCAGCAGAUUACAAAAAGAGGUAAUUGAUGAAAAAAUUGCACAGUUUGUUUAUGCAACAAACUCUCCUUUCUGUAUUUUUGAGAACCCACACUUCAUUAACAUGAUUCAGUCAUUAAGACCAGGAUACAUUCCUCCCAACAGAACAGAGGUCACAGGAAAAUUGCUGGAUAAAGUGUAUGAAAGAGAAAUUGAGCAGUGUGCAAAUGGUCUAGAGGGUGAAAUUGUUAACCUGAGUUUUGGUGGGUGCAGCAAUGUCCACAAUGAUCCUGUUGUAUGUGCUUGUGUGACAACAGAAGAAGGGAAUGUCUUCCUCACAGAAACAACUGAUACAUCAGGAAAUGCACACACAGCAGAAUACUUACAAGAAGUAGCAGUAAAAAGCUAUAACAAAGUGUGAAAAAAAUUAAAAUAUCUAAUACGCAGCUUGGUCACAGACAAUGCUGCAAAUAUAUCCAAGAUGAGAAGAAAUUAUUUAGAAGACAGUUCCAAGCUAACAACAUACAGUUGCAGUGCUCAUUUGAUGCACCUCCUAGGCAAAGACUUCAGUGUUCCAGAAAUAAAGGCUAAUGUUGUUGAAAUUGCAAAAUAGUUCCAUAACAUCCACUUCGCAGCAGCUGCUCCGAAAAAAGUGGGAUGGAACUCAGCAGUGGACUGUGUUGAGCACUAGAUCAAGAACUGGCCUAUUCUGAUGACAGUUUGUGAACAAAAUCGUGGAAAAAAUAGAUGGCACUGUUACAGCCAAAGCUCUCAACACUGGGCUUAAGAGAAAUGUUGAACACAUGCUGAGUACCCUGAAGCCUAUUUCUGUAGCCUUGAUCAAAAUGCAGGGAAAUAGCAGUUUUAUUGCUGAUGCUGUUGAAAUUUGGAAAGAACUGGGUGAGAUCUUAAGAGAAAUAUGCAAUGACAGAGUUAAAUUAUAAGCAUUAAAAAAAAACAGGACAAGCACUAUUUCCAGCUCAUCUUCUUGCAAAUAUUCUCAAUACCUGGUACCAGGUUCAAACUUUAACUGCUGAAGAAGAGGACUUGGCUACGACAUGAACAUCCAGCAAUCAUCCCUCCAGAAUGCCAACUAUAAUAAACUUCAGAGCGAAGGGUGAUGUUUUACAGAAAGUCACACCAGUGAACUGGUGAAAAUCAGUUAAGCACUUGGAUUCAGAGACUAUUGAAGUGAAUCUCACUUUUAACAGCAGUAGCUUCUUCUGCCAGUGUAGAAAAAAUAUUUUCUUCCAUUCGACUAAUUCAUUCCAAAUUGAGAAAUCGUUUGGACCUGAAAAAGCAGAAAAGCUUGUUUUUCUUUUCCAGAUUAUGAACAAACAGGAAAAUGAAGGGGAAAAUGACUGAGUUAGCUGCAGAAGCCAAUAUUUUAAGUUUUUCAUGUUGACGUGGCUGACGGACAAUUUAAUUUUUGUUUUUAUUUUAAAAAAAUAUUUCGUUUAACUAUUUUAGAUAAAAACAAUUUUAACAAAAACAAACCUGAUUUUAAAAAACUUGAAUGUUGAGCAUAUGAAUUUUUGAAUUUAGUUUUGUUAAAAUAUUAUAUAUUUGCUGUUGAAGAAAAAAAUCCAGAAUACAUAAUGUUGUUGUUUCAGUUAAAUAAAACAAUUUAAAUGUUUGUCUGGUGAUGUUCUCCGCCUAAUACAGCAUGGCAAGAAAAUCCUCCAAAUAUUAAUGAUUAACCUGUUGAAUUGGAGAUAGUUUACCUCCCAAUGACUUCAUAAAUAUCUGCUUCAAUUGUUUUUGGUAAAUGAAAUAACCGAACAAUCAUUCAUUUUCUGAUAUAGCUGUAAAACUAAUCUGAAAAGUUUUCAUAAUAAAUCACUUUAAAAACG